rnacentral:rRNA from 1 species
AUUGAACGCUGGCGGCAGGCCUAACACAUGCAAGUCGAACGGUAGCACAGAGAGCUUGCUCUCGGGUGACGAGUGGCGGACGGGUGAGUAAUGUCUGGGAAACUGCCCGAUGGAGGGGGACAACUACUGGAAACGGUAGCUAAUACCGCAUAACGUCGCAAGACCAAAGUGGGGGACCUUCGGGCCUCACACCAUCGGAUGUGCCCAGAUGGGAUUAGCUAGUAGGUGGGGUAAUGGCUCACCUAGGCGACGAUCCCUAGCUGGUCUGAGAGGAUGACCAGCCACACUGGAACUGAGACACGGUCCAGACUCCUACGGGAGGCAGCAGUGGGGAAUAUUGCACAAUGGGCGCAAGCCUGAUGCAGCCAUGCCGCGUGUAUGAAGAAGGCCUUCGGGUUGUAAAGUACUUUCAGCGGGGAGGAAGGCGGUGGAGUUAAUAACUUCACCGAUUGACGUUACCCGCAGAAGAAGCACCGGCUAACUCCGUGCCAGCCGCCGUAACAC